GACGAACGCUGGCGGCGUGCUUAACACAUGCAAGUCGAACGGAAAGGCCCUGCUUGCAGGGUACUCGAGUGGCGAACGGGUGAGUAACACGUGGGUGAUCUGCCCUGCACUUCGGGAUAAGCUUGGGAAACUGGGUCUAAUACCGGAUAGGAACCAUCUUUAGUGUGGUGGUUGGAAAGUUUUUUCGGUGUAGGAUGAGCUCGCGGCCUAUCAGCUUGUUGGUGGGGUAAUGGCCUACCAAGGCGGCGACGGGUAGCCGGCCUGAGAGGGUGUACGGCCACAUUGGGACUGAGAUACGGCCCAGACUCCCACGGGAGGCAGCAGUGGGGAAUAUUGCACAAUGGGCGCAAGCCUGAUGCAGCGACGCCGCGUGGGGGAUGAAGGCCUUCGGGUUGUAAACUCCUUUCGCUAGGGACGAAGCUUUGUUGUGACGGUACCUAGAUAAGAAGCACCGGCUAACUACGUG
rnacentral:rRNA from 1 species